UACGGGGGGGGGUAAGCGUUGUUCGGAAUUACUGGGCGUAAAGGGCUCGUAGGCGGCCAACUAAGUCAUACGUGAAAUCCCUCAGCUUAACUGGGGAACUGCGUGUGAUACUGGAUGGCUUGGAUUUGGGAGAGGGAUGCGGAAUUCCAGGUGUAGCGGUGAAAUGCGUAGAUAUCUGGAGGAACACCGGUGGCGAAGGCGGCAUCCUGGACCAAUAUUGACGCUGAGGAGCGAAAGCCAGGGGAGCAAACGGGG
rnacentral:rRNA from 1 species